UCUCACUCUGUCACCCAGGCUGCAGUGCAGUGGCACAAUCUUGGCUCACUGCAACCUCUGCCUCCUGUUGCCCAGGCUGGCCUCAAAUUCCUGGGCUCAAGUGAUCCCCCCGCCUCAGCCUCCCAAGUAGCUGGGACUACAGGUGUGCACCAGCAUCGCCUUGACUUGUUCCUCAUCACUCUAAUACUCAAUGAAUGAUGCCUGUUUUUCUUAUUGUCGUUCUUGCAAUUCCAAGAAGGGAUACCUGAGAUCAAUUUGGCCUAGAUUCUCAGAUCUGGUUCUUCCCAGAAAUGAAGCUCCCUAGAGGAGGUUGUGGGGUGGAGCAGGAUGAAUAUUCCUGUGUGGGACUUGGGGAGCAGGUGCUGCAGGUGGAGGAGCCGCAUGGCCCUGGUGUCCUGGGGAAGGAUCCUCCCUUCUUGGAGGGAGGGAACCUCUGCUGGGCCAGCAAAUGGUCAGGGAAGGAGGAGAGAGGAAGCUGGCACUAAAUCAUUGACCCCUGAACAGGCUUCUGGGCACUAGCUGAAAUGUCAAAAAUGUUUUACUCUUUGGAGGAAGAGCCUCACUCGGGUUGCACAGCAUAGUAGUGGGUGGAGGACCCUAUAGAGGGCUGACUGAUGUCUUCAGAGUAGCUUGCUUCUUAAAAAGAGAAAAGAGAAACCUCCUCCUGGAAGCAGGGCUGAGCCUCUGGGGCAAGUGGACCCUGAAGCUAUGGCAGGACUGAGUUCCUAGGAGCCAGACCCUCAGCCUCAGGCCUCACACUCCAGUCUAUAGAGCCUGCUCCCUUUAGGGUAGGGAAGGUAAAGCCCAGGGCUCAGUUCGGCUCCAUUCUACAGUCAGGAAAGUGUCACAUUAUCGUGGCAGGUUGAGAAGCACAGCAGGAGAUGGUAGCAUAGAGGGGCACAUCUCCCACUGAGGCACAAGAAGGCUGAACUGAGAUUUAAGGGAGCCGGAGGAGGUAGUCACCCAUUUCUUUAUGAAUUCAUGGAUUACUAUCUUCCUUCGAUUGUGUAUAAUUUGUUAUUAUCAUCUAUUUUGGCUUAGAUUGUUUCGGACUUGGCCAUGUGCCAACUCCUGGAAUUCUGCGGCUGCAUCCUCAUCUUCUUUGAGCACUUCCUUACUUUCUUGUGCAAAGAGACAUUUCAACCAUCUUGGUAAAGAUUUAAUUAGAUCAUCAAUGAAUGCUAAAUCUAAGAUGAAAUUUUGUUGAAGAGUAGGAUAUAUAGAUGGUCUUCAAAUGUCUCCCCACAGACUACUUAUUAGUUGCAAGGGCAGGGGAAAGUAAUUAUGUGAUAGAGAAAAUGGGUAACACCUUGCCCAGUGAUCAAAGUUAACAUCAUGUAUGAAGGACAGAGGGACAUUGUGCGUCUCCGGGUGUGAUAUCCUGAGGACACGUGGCCUAUGCAGUAUUCCCGCUGAAAAUGUAGAACUUCAUCUCUCUCUCUCCUUUU
rnacentral:lncRNA from 10 species